AGAUGACAGACCGCUCCAGGAACGAGCUAUAGAGCGAUCGCAUACCCCCCGCAAGGCCCUCCAGGACUCGCUGACUCCCGGGCAGAGGUCAAGGGUCAGGAAUGGGUCCAGCUGUGCGCCUGGAAAGGACCCAGCGUGCCCACGCUCCCGGCAAGCCAGGACUCAAACAUCCCCAAAGGGCGUCCGGGCUGAUGACGAUAGCUCCCAAUCGCCCUCCAGACGCACACUGGCAGGAACAACCGGAGGGACUUCCCUGACCGACCCCGCGUUUGCUCAGCUUUGAAUUCCCGCUCUGUAGAUCUGUCGCAAUUUAACCAGAAGUCACCCUGAAGACGGUACCAAAAUCUCUGGAACUGGAGUUACAGAUGUUUAUAAGCCACCAUUGCAUGGAGCUGUUUGAGAAAGAUCAGAGGAUGUGCCCUUGUUGGAGGAGAUG
rnacentral:lncRNA from 1 species